rnacentral:rRNA from 1 species
UGAUCCUGGCUCAGAAUCAACGCUGGCGGCGUGCCUCAGACAUGCAAGUCGAACGCGAAAGUCCCCUUCGGGGGGCGAGUAGAGUGGCGCACGGGUGAGUAACACGUAGGUAAUCUACCUUUGGAUGGGGAAUGACAACCGGAAACGGUUGCUAAUACCGCAUAAUGCAGCGGCACCUAAUGGUGACAGUUGUUAAAGCGGGGGAUCGAAAGACCUCGCGUCUGAAGAGGAGCCUGCGGCGGAUUAGCUAGUUGGUAAGGUAACGGCUUACCAAGGCGACGAUCCGUAGCCGGCCUGAGAGGGCGGUCGGCCACACUGACACUGACAUACGGGUCAGACUCCUACGGGAGGCAGCAG